AAGGCAUUGAUAAUUGACUAUUAUAUCCUCCAUUGUAGAUGCUUCCAUAAGCAACAGAAGCUACAACGCUAUGCUAACUUGAACAUCAGAUUUCGCAAACGGAAGAAGUUGGAAGCACAUAAAAUGAUGUACUUAUGACAGCCACAAUUAACAAUUUAUAAAGGAACAGGGAUAAAAACUUGUAACACUCAUUCCACUAGCAAGGCAAACGGAAUGCAAGCAAAGAUGUCUUGUAGUAUAAUAAGAAUCCUUUUCUCUCUUUCUAUACAGCAUGUUAAAACCAAAAAUUAAAAAUAAAAAAAAAGGUUAAAACAAUUGCCUUUUAUCAUGAAUUAACACAAUGGCUCUAUGAUCAAAGAAGCUAAGCCAAUUAAAUAACUAUGAAAUAUAACACUACGAAUGAAACCAAACAAGCCAACCAAGCUUACAUGCAUAGAAAAGACCAGUCGAAGUUACAAAUAGGUGUACCAGAUCAAGUUAACUAAGGGUACUUGUAUUUGAUCUACCAUCCUACAAUUUAAAGCACAACUAAGACACAAGGCAGGGAAUUUGAGCUUCCUCUGGCUUCUUUCUCUAUUCACUUGCCUCAAAACUCAGUUACCAAAUUGCAAGAUAAGUUAUUUCCAACAAUAUGGUGACACAGCCACCAUGGGAAAAUAUUUCUAAUAAUCCUCAACAAGUUCCUCCCUUAAUGAUGAUAGAUGACAUUACACAACCAAUCCAAACAGAGAGCAGUACUUUAUAUACCAAUGCCAAAUACAUUAAUGGUUUAUGUAAAUCUCACUGAAGUAAAACUUUUGCGUCUCAGUUGACUGUAGAGUGUGGGCGAACUGAUUGUCAAAAAUUACUACCACUCAAUAAAUGGCUUAGCCUAAUUAGAUAGGGGGCGAUGCAGGGGUGAGCAUUAUUCGGUUCAA
rnacentral:misc_RNA from 1 species